rnacentral:rRNA from 1 species
AACGAACGCUGGCGGCAUGCCUAAUACAUGCAAGUCGAGCGCUGCCUUCUGGUACAGUUACCCACGGGUUCGUCACCCGUCGGAACCUUCCCUUAUGUUCGGAAUAACUCUCCGCAAGGGGCGCUAAUACCGAAUAAUGUCUACGGCCCAAAGAUUUAUCAGCUUUGGAUGUGCGCGUGUUAGAUUAGCAAGUUGGUAGGUUAAAAGCCUACCAAGGCGAAGUUGCAUAGCUGGUCUGAGAGGAUGAUCAGCCACACUGGGACUGAGACACGGCGCAGACUCCUAGGGGAGGCAGCAGUGGGGAAUAUUGGACGAUGGGCGAGAGCCUGAUCCAGCAAUGCCGUGUGAGUGAUGAGGGACAGAGGAUUGUAAGGGUGUUUUGCAAGGGAUGAUAGUGACGGUAACGGGAGAAAAAGCGCCGGCUAACUCCGUG